UCAGAGCCACUUUGGCUGGUUUGUUUUCAUUUCAUCUUCUCAUCUCUCCACGAUUUUCUUUUCUUAUUUAUUUUUGGAUCCGGGCUGUUCCUUUACUCCCUUGUGAUCGCCAGUUAUUAAAAAAAAAAAAGAGAAAAAAAAAAAAAAUCGAUCAAAAAAAGAAAAAAAGUAAAAGUUUUGGCUUGAAUCACUUCUGAAGAGAAAUCCAGGGGGAGUGGUGGAAGAGAAACCCUGCUGGCUGAAGAGAAACCCAGCCUUAGGACAGUUAAGGCGGAUCCACACAAAAAUCUCUUCAUUGUUCUUUCUCUUUUCUUUUCCCACAAAGUUUGUUUUGGGUUUUGACUGCUGAUUUUUUU
rnacentral:lncRNA from 1 species